rnacentral:rRNA from 1 species
GACAGAGGGUGCUAGCGUUGUUCGGAAUUACUGGGCGUAAAGGGCGCGUAGGCGGUCUGUUAAGUUCGGUGUGAAAGCCCCGGGCUCAACCUGGGAACCGCGCUUGAGACUGGCACGCUAGAGUUCGGGAGAGGAUGGUGGAAUUCCCAGUGUAGAGGUGAAAUUCGUAGAUAUUGGGAAGAACACCGAUGGCGAAGGCAGCCAUCUGGACCGACACUGACGCUGAGGCGCGAAAGCGUGGGGAGCAAACAGG